GACGAACGCUGGCGGCGUGCUUAACACAUGCAAGUCGUACGGAAAGGCCCUGCUUUUGUGGGGUGCUCGAGUGGCGAACGGGUGAGUAACACGUGAGUAACCUGCCCUUGACUUUGGGAUAACUUCAGGAAACUGGGGCUAAUACCGGAUAGGAGCUCCUGCUGCAUGGUGGGGGUUGGAAAGUUUCGGCGGUUGGGGAUGGACUCGCGGCCUAUCAGCUUGUUGGUGGGGUAGUGGCUUACCAAGGCUUUGACGGGUAGCCGGCCUGAGAGGGUGACCGGCCACAUUGGGACUGAGAUACGGCCCAGACUCCUACGGGAGGCAGCAGUGGGGAAUAUUGCACAAUGGGCGGAAGCCUGAUGCAGCAACGCCGCGUGCGGGAUGACGGCCUUCGGGUUGUAAACCGCUUUCGCCUGUGACGAAGCGUGAGUGACGGUAAUGGGUAAAGAAGCACCGGCUAACUACGUGCCGGCAGCCGCGGUGAUACGUAGGGUGCGAGCGUUGUCCGGAUUUAUUGGGCGUAAAGGGCUCGUAGGUGGUUGAUCGCGUCGGAAGUGUAAUCUUGGGGCUUAACCCUGAGCGUGCCUUCGAUACGGGUUGACUUGAGGAAGGUAGGGGAGAAUGGAAUUCCUGGUGGAGCGGUGGAAUGCGCAGAUAUCAGGAGGAACACCAGUGGCGAAGGCGGUUCUCUGGGCCUUUCCUGACGCUGAGGAGCGAAAGCGUGGGGAGCGAACAGGCUUAGAUACCCUGGUAGUCCACGCUGUAAACGGUGGGUACUAGGUGUGGGGUCCAUUCCACGGGUUCCGUGCCGUAGCUAACGCUUUAAGUACCCCGCCUGGGGAGUACGGCCGCAAGGCUAAAACUCAAAGGAAUUGACGGGGCCCCGCACAAGCGGCGGAGCAUGCGGAUUAAUUCGAUGCAACGCGUAGAACCUUACCUGGGUUUGACAUGGAUCGGGAGUGCUCAGAGAUGGGUGUGCCUCUUUUGGGGUCGGUUCACAGGUGGUGCAUGGCUGUCGUCAGCUCGUGUCGUGAGAUGUUGGGUUAAGUCCCGCAACGAGCGCAACCCUUGUUCACUGUUGCCAGCACGUUAUGGUGGGGACUCAGUGGAGACCGCCGGGGUCAACUCGGAGGAAGGUGGGGAUGACGUCAAGUCAUCAUGCCCCUUAUGUCCAGGGCUUCACGCAUGCUACAAUGGCUGGUACAGAGAGUGGCGAGCCUGUGAGGGUGAGCGAAUCUCGGAAAGCCGGUCUCAGUUCGGAUUGGGGUCUGCAACUCGACCUCAUGAAGUCGGAGUCGCUAGUAAUCGCAGAUCAGCAACGCUGCGGUGAAUACGUUCCCGGG
rnacentral:rRNA from 1 species